AACGAACGCUGGCGGCAUGCCUAACACAUGCAAGUCGAACGAGACCUUCGGGUCUAGUGGCGCACGGGUGCGUAACGCGUGGGAACCUGCCCUUAGGUUCGGAAUAACUCCCCGACAGGGGUGCUAAUACCGGAUAAUGUCUUCGGACCAAAGAUUUAUCGCCUUUGGAUGGGCCCGCGUUGGAUUAGCUAGUUGGUAGGGUAAAAGCCUACCAAGGCGACGAUCCAUAGCUGGUCUGAGAGGAUGAUCAGCCACACUGGGACUGAGACACGGCCCAGACUCCUACGGGAGGCAGGAGUGGGGAAUAGUGGACAAUGGGCGAAAGCAUGAUCCAGCAAUGACGCGUGAGUGAUGAAGGCCUUAGGGUUGUAAAGCUCUUUUAACCGGGAUGAUAAUGACAGUACCGGGAGAAUAAGCCCCGGCUAACUCCGUG
rnacentral:rRNA from 1 species